CUGCACUGCCUUUGAACCCCUCUGGUCCCUGCGUGACCUCUGGGGCCGAGCUGCAGUGCAACAGUAAAGUCCUGUUCAUAACUGGAGUUUUCUGGAUGAACCGCCAGACUGCUCUUUUAAAUACAAGACACAAAC